rnacentral:rRNA from 1 species
CGUGCCUAAUACAUGCAAGUCGAACGCAUUGUGGUUGAAAUGAUAUGAAGAACUUGUUCAGAUUUGAUUUCAACAUUGCAAUGAGUGGCGAACGGGUGAGUAACACGUGGGAAACCUACCUCUUAGCAGGGGAUAACAUUUGGAAACAAAUGCUAAUACCGUAUAAUAAUUAAAACCGCAUGGUUUUAGUUUAAAAGAUGGUCUUGCUAUCACUCAGAGAUGGUCCCGCGGUGUAUUAGUUAGUUGGUGAGGUAAUGGCUCACCAAGACAAUGAUACAUAGCCGAGUUGAGAGACUGACCGGCCACAAUGGGACUGAGACACGGCCCAUACUCCUACGGGAGGCAGCAGUAGGGAAUCUUCCACAAUGGACGAAAGUCUGAUGGAGCAACGCCGCGUGUGUGAUGAAGGGUUUCGGCUCGUAAAACACUGUUGUAAGAGAAGAAUGACAUUGAGAGUAACUGUUCAAUGUGUGACGGUAUCUUACCAGAAAGGAACGGCUAAAUACGUG